AACCCCCCAAAUCCCCAAUCCCUAACCUGCGGCUGCGCUCUCUACUCUCUAGUCUCUAUCAUCAGUCACUCUCUAGUCUCUACUACCCAGUCGCUCUCGCUCUCUCUUCUCCAAAUCCCCAAAGCACGACGCCACCCACAGCACCACGCCGAAGCCUUCCUCUUCGCAGAGACGCCACCCACAGCACGACGCCGUCGCCCACGCACAGCACGACGCUGUCGCCGUUGAGACUCCACCACCCAGCGCCAGCAGUGUUUCUAGGUUCUCCCACUCAGCGCCACUAGCCCACUAUCAUCAGUUCAACCCACUCCCAGCACGGCAGCACCUCCGAAUCUCCCAGUCAGCCUUCCUCCCAAGUCAACAUGGAGCCCAAGCCACUGAUUCAGAUCACGAACAGCAGUUGUCCCACCGGAACGGUUGAAGAUUUUGCUACAGGUCCAGAAUCCUCAUAAGAUUAAAUACAAUGGAACUGUCCAAGGCCUGAAAUAUAUAUGGAUUACUGAAGGUUUUUGUCGACUGUUCAAAGGGAAUGGUAUUAAUUGUGCUCAGAUUGUGCCUAACUCUGCAGUGAAGUUCUUCAGUUAUGAGCAAGCUUCUAAGUAAGUUUUACUUUAGAAGCAAAGGAAUGAUUGGCUGAUUGUUCUUUUAUUCGGCAUUAUUUUUGUUGGCAUACUAUUCAAAGUGGAGCAUUUUUCAAAUCAACUUUAAAUGAUAGUAGAAGGGGGCGCCUUGGAGUAAUGAUGGAAUUGUCUUUGUGUGACCUCAAGGACACGGGUUCAUUUAAAUAGGUUCACUGCUGCCAGCAGCAGCUAACAUUGUUGAAUUAUUUAAGUGCAUUCACUUCAAAUAUUUUAACUCUGUUUUUUGAAAUGGUUUAGAACUUGUGAAAUGGUUUAGAACUUGUGUUGACUGUUGAACUAUUGAACUUCUUUAAUUGUCGUAUUUGAAUUCUGUUGUCGUUAAAUUUCAAUAGAUCAAGACUUUGUUA